rnacentral:rRNA from 1 species
GGUCCCAGUUCGGAUUGUAGGCUGCAACUCGCCUACAUGAAGUCGGAGUUGCUAGUAAUCGCGGAUCAGAAUGCCGCGGUGAAUGCGUUCCCGGGUCUUGUACACACCGCCCGUCACACCAUGGAAGUUGGGGCGCCCGAAGUUGGUCGAGGAAUAGAUUACCUAAGGCGAAACCAAUGACUGGGGUGAAGUCGUAACAAGGUAAC